GACGAACGCUGGCGGCGUGCUUAACACAUGCAAGUCGAACGAUGAACUUGGAGCUUGCUCUGGGGGAUUAGUGGCGAACGGGUGAGUAACACGGGAGUAACCUGCCCUGGACUCUGGGAUAACUUCGAGAAAUCGGAGAUAAUACCGGAUAGGACCUUGCACCGCAUGGUGUGGGGUGGAAAGCUUUUCGGUUUGGGAUGGACUCGCGGCCUAUCAGCUUGUUGGUGAGGUAAUGGCUCACCAAGGCGUCGACGGGUAGCCGGCCUGGGAGGGUGACCGGCCACACUGGGACUGAGACACGGCCCAGACUCCUACGGGAGGCAGCAGUGGGGAAUAUUGCACAAUGGGCGCAAGCCUGAUGCAGCAACGCCGCGUGCGGGAUGACGGCCUUCGGGUUGUAAACCGCUUUUAGUAGGGAAGAAGCCUUCGGGUGACGGUACCUGCAGAAAAAGGACCGGCUAACUCUGUGCCAGCAGCCGCCGUAACAC
rnacentral:rRNA from 1 species